rnacentral:rRNA from 1 species
GACGAACGCUGGCGGCGUGCUUAACACAUGCAAGUCGAACGGAGUGGCGAACGGGUGAGUAACACGGCGGUGAUCUGCAUUGCACUUAGGGAUAAGCUUGGGAAACUGGGUCUAAUACCGGAUAGGUCAAGAUGAGCUCUCGGCCUAUCAGCUUGUUGGUGGGGUAAUGGCCUACCACGGCGUCGACGGGUAGCCGGCCUGCGAGGGUGUACGGCCACAUGGGUACUGAGAGACGGCCCAGACUCCUACGGGGGGCAGCAGUGGGGAAUAGUGCAAAAUGGGCGGAAGCCUGAUGCAGCGACGCCGCGUGGGGGAUGAAGGCCUUCGGGUUGUAAACUCCUUUCGACAGGGACGCGGUACCUGUAUAAGAAGCACCGGCUAACUACGUGCCAGCCGCCGCGGUAAUUC